rnacentral:tRNA from 2 species
GGGGACGUAGCUCAGUUGGUAGAGCGCUUGAAUGGCAUUCAAGAGGUCAGGGGUUCGAUUCCCCUCGUCUCCA